GGUGUUGGAUACAUCAUCUGGUGGAUUCGAAGUGUCGAAGGCUAUCAAAUCUGCAUAAGGAGUGAGAAGGUUGCGAUCAAGCUUCGAUUGGAGCCCUGUUGGAGAUAAAGAUUCGAAUCUGAUCAAAGAGCUUGUAGAUCUAUCUAGGAGUAGAUAGAUUGAAGAAGGAGAAAGCAUUUCAGACCAGAUCCGAGUGGAUACCUGUAGAGAUA
rnacentral:lncRNA from 1 species